rnacentral:misc_RNA from 1 species
UGCAGGAGUGAGCCUGCUCGCGAUGGCGUGCGUCCAGUCACUGAAUGUGUUGAAUGUGAUUGCGCUAUCGCGAGCAGGCUCACUCCUGCA